rnacentral:rRNA from 1 species
GCGGAUGGAGCUGAAGCCAGUCGAAGAUACCAGCUGGCUGCAACUGUUUAAUAAAAACACAGCACUGUGCAAACACGAAAGUGGACGUAUACGGUGUGACGCCUGCCCGGUGCUGGAAGGUUAAUUGAUGGGGUCAGCCGCAAGGCGAAGCUCUUGAUCGAAGCCCCAGUAAACGGCGGCCGUAACUAUAACGGUCCUAAGGUAGCGAAAUUCCUUGUCGGGUAAGUUCCGACCUGCACGAAUGGCGUAAUGAUGGCCAGGCUGUCUCCACCCGAGACUCAGUGAAAUUGAACUCGCUGUGAAGAUGCAGUGUACCCGCGGCAAGACGGAAAGACCCCGUGAACCUUUACUAUAGCUUGACACUGAACAUUGAGCCUUGAUGUGUAGGAUAGGUGGGAGGCUUUGAAGCGUGGACGCCAGUCUGCGUGGAGCCAUCCUUGAAAUACCACCCUUUAAUGUUUGAUGUUCUAACUCGGCCCCAUAAUCUGGGGUGAGGACAGUGUCUGGUGGGUAGUUUGACUGGGGCGGUCUCCUCCCAAAGAGUAACGGAGGAGCACGAAGGUUAGCUAAUCACGGUCGGACAUCGUGAGGUUAGUGCAAAGGCAUAAGCUAGCUUGACUGCGAGAGUGACGGCUCGAGCAGGUACGAAAGUAGGUCUUAGUGAUCCGGUGGUUCUGAAUGGAAGGGCCAUCGCUCAACGGAUAAAAGGUACUCCGGGGAUAACAGGCUGAUACCGCCCAAGAGUUCAUAUCGACGGCGGUGUUUGGCACCUCGAUGUCGGCUCAUCACAUCCUGGGGCUGAAGUAGGUCCCAAGGGUAUGGCUGUUCGCCAUUUAAAGUGGUACGCGAGCUGGGUUUAGAACGUCGUGAGACAGUUCGGUCCCUAUCUGCCGUGGGCGUUGGAAGAUUGAGAGGGGUUGCUCCUAGUACGAGAGGACCGGAGUGAACGCACCACUGGUGUUCGGGUUGUCAUGCCAAUGGCAUUGCCCGGUAGCUAAGUGCGGAAAAGAUAAGCGCUGAAAGCAUCUAAGCGCGAAACUUGCCUCAAGAUGAGUCUUCCCUGGGCCUUUAAGGUCCCUGAAGGAACGUUUAAGACUAAGACGUUGAUAGGCUGGGUGUGUAAGUGCAGCGAUGCAUUGAGCUAACCAGUACUAAUGAUCCGUGAGGCUUAACCUU